CUCCUUCCCUUCUGGCCAUUUGUUUCAUUUUAAAUCCCUUCACCCAUGCUUUCUUCUACUCAAUCUGCUCAAAAUGAUUACAUGAAAUUGUCAAUGCAAGUGAACUAACAGUCAUGUCUGGUAUCAUUUGAAAUGUCUCAGUGCAACUGGUACAAUGGUCUCAAUCUUACAAAAGUAGAUUAAAAGAUAAUACAGAUCCUAAGAGUUAAGAGAUAUUUUGCCUACUGUAAUGGGAGUGCCCCUUCCCAGGGUCCUCCAUGUAAAUUACCUCCUGUUCCCAUUGAGUUGUAAAACCACCCAGGCUUGGGACCUGAGUUAAUGCAAAUUCCUAUUGUUAGUUACUGUCUCCAUCUCGGGGGAUGUUUGUCUUGGUCUGAGGUAUUUAAACGAUUGCAGCAAAAGGAUCAGGGCCUUCUGUAGCCAGAAUGAGCCCUUAGCAUGAAGUGUGUCCACACACUUCAUACUUAUGUAUUUUUCUAAAGUCAGGUAUGCAUCUUUUACUCUUAGAUUCACCUUUGAGAAUUUGAUGUCUUGUAUUGAUUUGAUAUCUCUGAAUUGGCUAUGUAAUUGGCAUAAUACUUACCUGACUGAUAAUAAAUUGUUACAUUUGAUUUACUCUGAGUUACUCUGAAAUUGUUUCCUCAAGUAGAUUAAGUGAAGGCUAUGUUUCCGCAAAUCUGCGUCCAGGGUUAAGUGCAUACUAAAACUCAGGCUAGAUGGAGCAUGGGGCACAUCAGGUGAGGUUUUAGAUUUCUGGCUAACCGCUUGACUUUAGUUAAGUUGUACUCAGUUGCAGUAACUAUGGGGGGCUAGUCAGAGCACUGGUCAUAACCGCUGGUUAUUGUCUCAGCUUUAAUUAAGUUGUACGCAGUUAUAUAACUGUCGGGGGGCUAGACAGAUAGUGCUAGCAUAACCGCUGAUUAUUGUAGUGAGCUUUAACUAAGUUGUACAUGGGUAACUGAGGGGGACUAAACGAAAAUACUAUUUCAAAUAUGGUAAGUAUGGGUAACCUAUUAAAUAGUAUUAGUCAUAACCUCUGACUACUGUUUAGACUGGCGAGUUUGUGAUCGUGGGGCACACGUAUAAGAACGGCCGUCGUGGGGCACCCUGAGCGACUUAGAUUCCUAAUGAACAAGUAAAUAUAAAGUAAAGAGUUAACUAGAAUAAUCCAAUGUCAGAAUAAUAAUAAUGAUAAUAAUUAGAGACAGACAAUCAACCAAUUUGCCUUUCAACCUAAAUUCGAGGUCAUACUAAAAUGGAGUCAGAUGAAUUAUUAAAAUGGAGUCAGAUUAGAAUUGGAUUUAAAUUGAAUAACUCUACGCGCUGAAAAGACCGAACGCGCAAGCAACCUUCAGCCAGCACCGGAUACCUUCCUUGGACCGAGUGCCUGGACCUUACAACAGUCUUUA
ensembl:lncRNA